UACGGGGGGUGCGAGCGUUGUCCGGAAUCACUGGGCGUAAAGGGCGCGUAGGUGGUCUGAUAAGGGUGUGGUGAAAGCCCGGGGCUCAACCCCGGGUCGGCCGUGCCGACUGUUAGACUAGAGUGCUGUAGGGGCAGGCGGAAUUCCGGGUGUAGCGGUGGAAUGCGCAGAUAUCAGGAGGAACACCGAUGGCGAAGGCAGCUCGCUGGGACGGUACUGACGCUGAGGCGCGAAAGCGUGGGGAGCGAACAGG
rnacentral:rRNA from 1 species